rnacentral:miRNA from 1 species
UAGGGUGACCAACCAUUCCUGAUUUGCUCAGGAACUUGGCAGUUUCCUGGGAGGUGGGAAUUUCAGUGCCAACCAGGAUGGCUGGUCAUUCUAUAAAUAG